rnacentral:rRNA from 1 species
GUGGAUUAGAUACCCUGGUAGUCCACGCCCUAAACGAUGUCUACUAGUUGUCGGGUCUUAAUUGACUUGGUAACGCAGCUAACGCGUGAAGUAGACCGCCUGGGGAGUACGGUCGCAAGAUUAAAACUCAAAGGAAUUGACGGGGACCCGCACAAGCGGUGGAUGAUGUGGAUUAAUUCGAUGCAACGCGAAAAACCUUACCUACCCUUGACAUGGCUGGAAUCCCUGAGAGAUCGGGGAGUGCUCGAAAGAGAACCAGUACACAGGUGCUGCACGGCUGUCGCCAGCU